rnacentral:rRNA from 1 species
UCGGGAGGGGCCUGCGUCCCAUCAGCUAGUUGGUAAGGUAAAGGCUUACCAAGGCUAUGACGGGUAGGGGACCUGAGAGGGUGGCCCCCCACAAUGGAACUGAAACACGGUCCAUACACCUACGGGUGGCAGCAGUAGGGAAUAUUAGUAAUGGGCGAAAGCCUGAACUAGCAACGCCGCGUGUGCGAAGAAGGCCUUCGGGUUGUAAAGCACUUUUUGAGAGGAUGAGGAAGGACGGUACUCUCAGAAUAAGUCUCGGCUAACUACGUGCCAGCAGCCGCGGUAACACGUAGGAGGCGAACGUUAUCCGGAUUUACUGGGCGUAAAGCGCGUGUAGGUGGUUUGGUAAGUAGGGCGUGAAAGCUCCUGGCUCAACUGGGAGAGGCCGUUCUAAACUGCCGAACUAGAGGAUGGUAGAGGGAGGUGGAAUUCCGGGUGUAGCGGUGGAAUGCGCAGAUAUCCGGAGGAACACCAGUGGCGAAAGCGGCCUCCUGGACCACUCCUGACACUCAGACGCGAAAGCUAGGGUAGCAAACGGGAUUAGAGACCCCGGUAGUCCUAGCCCUAAACGAUGUAGACUUGGCGUCGGUGGUUUAAACGCCAUCGGUGUCGAAGCUAACGCGAUAAGUCUACCGC